UACGUAGGGGGCAAGCGUUGUCCGGAUUUAUUGGGCGUAAAGAGCGUGUAGGCGGCCGUACAGGUCAGCUGUGAAAACCCGAGGCUUAACCUCGGGCUGGCGGUGGAUACGGGCAGACUAGAGGUAGGUAGGGGAGAAUGGAAUUCCCGGUGUAGCGGUGAAAUGCGCAGAUAUCGGGAGGAACACCGGUGGCGAAGGCGGUUCUCUGGGCCUUACCUGACGCUGAGGAGCGAAAGCGUGGGGAGCGAACAGG
rnacentral:rRNA from 1 species